AGAUGAGGUGUCUGGGAGGGCUUCUCCAUCAGCUUGGAUGAAUAAAGUUUUGAAGCCCUUGGAGCCUCCUGCAGAUGUGUCUACAGGGAGGACUUCUCCAGCUCCUUCCUUGGAUGUUGCACUCAAGCCCAGCUCCCAUCACAGGAGUGAGUAGUGUGUCCCUGCUGACCCACAGGCUGAGCCUUGCUUUUGUAGGAUCCAUUCCAGGGAAAUGGAAAUAUUUUUCUCUAAGGUACUCCAACAGGAAAAAUCCAAGAUACAACAGAUAAGAUAUCCCUGGAACCAUCCAAACAGAUGAGGCAAGAGCUGAAGGAACCCCUGCAGACAAGACAAGAGCUGGACAUAGUGCUUCAGUGGAAGUUGGCAUUUCUUGAAGGAAGCACUCCAUCUUUGGUGCCAGCCCCUGUUGCAGGAAGGAAGGCGAUUCCAGACACGGGCACAGGCACAGCAG